CGCCCCCUACGGGAGGCAGCAGUGAGGAAUAUUGGUCAAUGGGCGGGAGCCUGAACCAGCCACGUCGCGUGAGGGACGAAGGUCCUAUGGAUUGUAAACCUCUUUUGUCGGGGAACAAAGGCGCCCACGGGUGGGCGGAUGAGUGUACCCGAAGAAAAAGCAUCGGCUAACUCCGUGCCAGCAGCCGCGGUAAUACGGAGGAUGCGAGCGUUAUCCGGAUUUAUUGGGUUUAAAGGGUGCGUAGGUGGACAGUCAAGUCAGCGGUAAAAAUGCGGUGCUCAACGCCGUGUAGCCGUUGAAACUGG
rnacentral:rRNA from 1 species